AUUGAACGCUGGCGGAAUGCUUUACACAUGCAAGUCGAGCGGCAGCGCGGGGCAACCUGGCGGCGAGCGGCGAACGGGUGAGUAAUACAUCGGAACGUGCCCAGACGUGGGGGAUAACUACUCGAAAGAGUGGCUAAUACCGCAUACGAUCUACGGAUGAAAGCGGGGGAUCGCAGGACCUCGCGCGUCUGGAGCGGCUGAUGGCGGAUUAGGUAGUUGGUGGGAUAAAAGCCUACCAAGCCAACGAUCUGUAGCUGGUCUGAGAGGAUGAUCAGCCACACUGGGACUGAGACACGGCCCAGACUCCUACGGGAGGCAGCAGUGGGGAAUUUUGGACAAUGGGCGAAAGCCUGAUCCAGCCAUUCCGCGUGCAGGAUGAAGGCCCUCGGGUUGUAAACUGCUUUUGUACAGAACGAAAAGCUCUGGCUAAUACCUGGAGUCCAUGACGGUACUGUAAGAAUAAGCACCGGCUAACUACGUG
rnacentral:rRNA from 1 species